UACGUAGGCAGCGAGCGUUGUUCGGAAUUACUGGGCGUAAAGAGUGUGUAGGCGGUGCUCUAAGUCUGUCGUGAAAUCUCCCGGCUUAACUGGGAGGGUGCGGCGGAUACUAUUGUGCUAGAGGGUGGGAGAGGAAAGCGGAAUUCCUGGUGUAGCGGUGAAAUGCGUAGAUAUCAGGAGGAACACCUGCGGUGUAGACAGCUUUCUGGACCACUUCUGACGCUGAGAACACGAAAGCGUGGGUAGCAAACAGG
rnacentral:rRNA from 1 species